rnacentral:rRNA from 1 species
GACGUAGGGGGCGAGCGUUAUCCGGAUUUAUUGGGCGUAAAGAGCGUGUAGGCGGCCAGGUAGGUCCGCUGUGAAAACUCGAGGCUUAACCUCGAGCUGUCGGUGGAAACCAUCUGGCUAGAGUCCGGAAGAGGAGAACGGAAUUCCCGGUGUAGCGGUGAAAAUGCGCAGAUAUCGGGAAGAACACCCGUGGCGAAGGCGGUUCUCUGGGACGGU